GGUGGGAUGGCCGAGUGGUUAUGGCGCUGCGUUCAGGUUAAGCCGAAUUUGAAUCCAGCAUUAGAUGCUGGGAGUGAAAUAUCGCAGUGGAGCAAUCCGCGUGGGUUCGAGUCCCACUUCCAUCA